rnacentral:rRNA from 1 species
UACCAGCUCUCCGAGUGGUAGGGAUGAUUAUUGGGCUUAAAGCGUCCGUAGCCGGCUUAGCAAGUCUCCUGUUAAAUUCAGCGACCUAAUCGUUGAGCCGCGGGAGAUACUACUAGGCUAGGAGGCGGGAGAGGUCAACGGUACUUCCGGGGUAGGGGUGAAAUCCUAUAAUCCCGGGAGGACCACCAGUGGCGAAGGCUGUUGACUAGAACGCGCUCGACGGUGAGGGACGAAAGCUGGGGGAGCGAACCGGAUUAGAUACCCGGGUAGUCCCAGCUGUAAACGAUGCGAGCUAGGUGUUGGGGUGGCUACGUGCCACUUCAGUGCCGCAGGGAAGCCAUUAAGCUCGCCGCCUGGGGAGUACGGCCGCAAGGCUGAAACUUAAAGAAAUUGGCGGGGGAGCACCACAAGGCGUGAAGCUUGCGGUUC